AUUGAACGCUGGCGGCAGGCCUAACACAUGCAAGUCGAACGAGUGGCGGACGGGUGAGUAAUGUAUGGGAAACUGCCUGAUGGACGGAGCUAACUACUGGAAACGGUAGCUAAUACCGCAUACCAUCAGAUGUGCCCAGAUGGGAUUAUCUAGUUGGUGGGGUAACGGCUCACCAAGGCGACGAUCCCUAGCUGGUCUGAGAGGAUGACCAGCCAAACUGGGACGGAGACACGGUCCAGACUCCUACGGGAGGCAGCAGUGGGGAAUAUUGGACAAUGGGCGCAAGCCUGAUGCAGCCAUGCCGCGUGUAUGAAGAAGGCCUUCGGGUUGUAAAGUACUUUCAGCGGGGAGGCGUUACCCGAAGAGGAAGCACCGGCUAACUCCGUGCCAGCAGCCGCGGUAAUAC
rnacentral:rRNA from 1 species